rnacentral:rRNA from 1 species
GACGAACGCUGGCGGCGUGCCUAAUACAUGCAAGUGGGACGCAAGGAAACACACUGUGCUUGCACACCGUGUUUUCUUGAGUCGCGAACGGGUGAGUAACGCGUAGGUAACCUGCCUAUUAGCGGGGGAUAACUAUUGGAAACGAUAGCUAAUACCGCAUAAUAUUAAUUAUUGCAUGAUAAUUGAUUGAAAGAUGCAAGCGCAUCACUAGUAGAUGGACCUGCGUUGUAUUAGCUAGUUGGUAAGGUAAGAGCUUACCAAGGCGACGAUACAUAGCCGACCUGAGAGGGUGAUCGGCCACACUGGGACUGAGACACGGCCCAGACUCCUACGGGAGGCAGCAGUAGGGAAUCUUCGGCAAUGGACGAAAGUCUGACCGAGCAACGCCGCGUGAGUGAAGAAGGUUUUCGGAUCGUAAAGCUCUGUUGUAAGUCAAGAACGUGUGUGAGAGUGGAAAGUUACACACUGACGUAGCUAC